rnacentral:rRNA from 1 species
UACGUAGGGGGCAAGCGUUGUCCGGAUUUAUUGGGCGUAAAAGGCUUGUAGGUGGCCACGCCAAGUCGGAUGUGAAAUCUCCCGGCUCAACUGGGAGAGGUCAUUCGAUACUGGUGGGCUCGAGGCCGGUAGGGGGAAGCGGAAUUCCCGGUGUAGUGGUGGAAUGCGUAGAUAUCGGGAGGACCACCAGUGGCGAAGGCGGCUUCCUGGACCGGUUCUGACACUGAGGAGCGAAAGCGUGGGGAGCGAUCCGG